ACAAGGCAGCUUGUUUUGAUGCCCUUGAGAGUUUGCCAGCCUUCUUAAAUUAUGUGUGCUUAAUUGCUUUUGUUACUAUUUGGCCCGAUGCCAAAAUUUAGUCAAGGUUAUGUUUUAUUUUCCCCCGGUUCAUAUUUGGAGACUAAAAGAGCAAAUAUUUGAGUUGCCAAUUUGAUAUGCGGAAUUUGACUUGGUUUUCAUUGGCUUCUUUUAGGCACAAAACCAAUCAGAACUUUUUCUUUUGCAGCAUUUAUUUGCUUUCUUUGUUUCUGCCUUCUCAUUGUUGCAUGAUCCUUUUGAGGAUCCUUGGGUUGCUGAAUUUAUUCAUGAGAAUUUUCCGUCAGGAAAGCCACAUGAUUAGCAGGAACCGUGUUUCGCUACAUCAUAUCUUGCUUGAUGGAACUUUGCAUGCACACUGACCAUGGAACUCACUCAUGGUAGGUGGGAACUGGAUACCGUGCAUUCAAAAGGUUAUUGUGUGGUUAUAUUUAGAUAUAUUUUAUAAAUUUCCUGUUGCUUGUGCUAAUAUGUAUUAUAUUGAGUUAUUGGCAUUCUUAUAUGAUUUUCAGAUAUUCUGAGUCAUGCUAAUAUGCUAAUUGGAUCUUUGGUUGUAUUCAAUAUGGUCGUUGACUUGUUACAAUAUUUCAGAGAUCUAGCAGUGUAAAAUAAAGUAUAUGGAAAUCUGAAGUCGCAGAUUUUUGGUAGUUGCAGUGCGGAUAUUUGGAGACCUCAUGAUUUGUGUUUUGAACCCGACCCUGAUUAAAAAAUCUGGUCCAAAAUUAUGUGGUGUACAAUAUCUCAAUUUUUUUUGUGAAAUAUGGUGCUUAAAUCGUCAAUGAGGCCGACCUGGUCGACGGUGUGAUUUGGCUGGCCGCGUGGACCGCCGGUCAAGGAGAUGUGGCGUCCUUGCCAGCCUCGUCAUGGCCGCUCAUCAAGUCGACGGCGGCUGCUCCCACGGUACCCUGUCAAUUAUGCAUUUUAUAAGGGAUAUUGCAUUCCCUAAAAAGGAUGGGUA